rnacentral:lncRNA from 1 species
CUGAUGCAAGAGGAUUGAGAGUUUGAGUCCAGCCUGGGCAAAUAGGCCAAGCAAACAGGCCACUCUCAGCAAACAACAGGUUAUUUUCAGGUCCUUUGUACUCCUACAUAACUUUUUAAUUUCAAUAUCCAACUCUUCAUUUAUGAAGCCAUCAGGUGAGCAGCUUGCUUUAUCACAUGCUCCCAACCAUGAUGUUCUGCCUCACCACAGGUCUAAAUGCAACAGAACCAACUUACCACGGACUGAAACUUCCAGAACGGACAGGAAGAAACCAAAAGGCCAGAAGAAAUGCCUAAAUUCAGAUCACAGCGAAGAGAGCAGAUCAGCUAAGCAGAUACGGACAAGCGCCCACCUGGGAGAUGGAAGACCCUGGACCACCUAAAUAAAAGGAGCUUGGGACAAGAGUUAGAGGGCUUUCAGCGCUGACGCCCCCCACCACCUCACUGCAGCUGUCUAUUCUCUUUCUUCUCCAUCUCUUUCCCCAA